CGGACCUUGCGCUACUGGAUGAGCCCGCGUUGCAUUAGCUUGUUGGUGGGGUAAUGGCCUACCAAGGCGACGAUGCAUAGCUGGUCUGAGAGGACGAUCAGCCACACUGGGACUGAGACACGGCCCAGACUCCUACGGGAGGCAGCAGUGGGGAAUAUUGGACAAUGGGCGCAAGCCUGAUCCAGCAAUACCGCGUGUGUGAAGAAGGCCCGAGGGUUGUAAAGCACUUUCAAUUGUGAAGAAAAGUUGUCGGUUAAUACCCGACAGCCUUGACGUUAACUUUAGAAGAAGCACCGGCUAACUCCGUGCCAGCAGCCGCGGUAAUACGGAGGGUGCGAGCGUUAAUCGGAAUUACUGGGCGUAAAGCGCGCGUAGGUGGCUUGAUAAGCCGGUUGUGAAAGCCCCGGGCUCAACCUGGGAACGGCAUCCGGAACUGUCAAGCUAGAGUGCAGGAGAGGAAGGUAGAAUUCCCGGUGUAGCGGUGAAAUGCGUAGAGAUCGGGAGGNAAUACNCAGUGGCGAAGGCGGCCUUCUGGACUGACACUGACACUGAGGUGCGAAAGCGUGGGUAGCAAACAGGAUUAGAUACCCUGGUAGUCCACGCCGUAAACGAUGUCGACCAGCCGUUGGGUGCCUAGCGCACCUUGUGGCGAAGUUAACGCGAUAAGUCGACCGCCUGGGGAGUACGGCCGCAANGGUUAAAACUCAAAUGAAUUGACGGGGGCCCGCACAAGCGGUGGAGCAUGUGGUUUAAUUCGAUGCAACGCGAAGAACCUUACCUACUCUUGACAUCCUGCGAACUUGUGGGAGAUCACUUGGUGCCUUCGGGAACGCAGAGACAGGUGCUGCAUGGCUGUCGUCAGCUCGUGUUGUGAAAUGUUGGGUUAAGUCCCGUAACGAGCGCAACCCUUGUCCUUAUUUGCCAGCGCGUAAUGGCGGGAACUCUAAGGAGACUGCCGGUGACAAACCGGAGGAAGGUGGGGACGACGUCAAGUCAUCAUGGCCCUUACGAGUAGGGCUACACACGUGCUACAAUGGUCGGUACAAAGGGUUGCCAACUCGCGAGAGUGAGCCAAUCCCG
rnacentral:rRNA from 1 species